rnacentral:lncRNA from 1 species
AAUUAUCUUUUUUCCUAUAAAUACGAGGUAAUUUUUCAUUCUUUUCACUCAAAUCUAACUCUCUCCAUUCUCUUUAAACUCUCAAUUCUCUCAAUUUUUGUUCGGAAUUUUUCAAACGAUUUGUUUAAAAAUGUUAUAGUUUUAUUUUAUUAUUUCGUAUAUUAUUCAUUUCGAUUAAAUUUUUACGAAUGACAAGUUCUCUGAUUCGUUUCGAC